GUAACACGCAAAGAACCUGCCCUCAGGUUUGGGAUAACCACGAGAAAUCGGGGCUAAUACCGGAUGGGUCAUCGGACCGCAUGGUCCGAGGAUGAAAGGCGCUUCGGCGUCGCCUGGGGAUGGCUUUGCGGUGCAUUAGCUAGUUGGUGGGGUAAUGGCCCACCAAGGCGACGAUGCAUAGCCGACCUGAGAGGGUGAUCGGCCACACUAGGACUGAGACACGGCCCAGACUCCUACGGGAGGCAGCAGUAGGGAAUCUUCCACAAUGGACGAAAGUCUGAUGGAGCAACGCCGCGUGAACGAUGAAGGCCUUCGGGUCGUAAAGUUCUGUUGUAAGGGAAGAACAAGUGCCGCAGGCAAUGGCGGCACCUUGACGGUACCUUGCGAGAAAGCCACGGCUAACUACGUGCCAGCAGCCGCGGUAAUACGUAGGUGGCAAGCGUUGUCCGGAAUUAUUGGGCGUAAAGCGCGCGCAGGCGGCCUCUUAAGUCUGAUGUGAAAGCCCCCGGCUCAACCGGGGAGGGCCAUUGGAAACUGGGAGGCUUGAGUAUAGGAGAGAAGAGUGGAAUUCCACGUGUAGCGGUGAAAUGCGUAGAGAUGUGGAGGAACACCAGUGGCGAAGGCGACUCCUUGGCCUAUAACUGACGCUGAGGCG
rnacentral:rRNA from 1 species